UACGGGGGGUGCGAGCGUUGUCCGGAAUCACUGGGCGUAAAGGGCGCGUAGGUGGUUUGAUAAGGGUGUGGUGAAAGUCCGGGGCUCAACCCCGGAUCUGCCGUGCCGACUGUCAAACUCGAGGGCUGUAGAGGCAGACGGAAUUCCGGGUGUAGCGGUGGAAUGCGUAGAGAUCCGGAGGAACACCAGGGGCGAAGGCGGCCGACUGGCCGAGUGCUGACGCUGAGGCGCGACGGCGUGGGGAGCAAACCGG
rnacentral:rRNA from 1 species